AUUCCAACAAGAUCCAAUUACACAACCGGGGCGCUACCACCAGCAUGGUUGAAAAGGUAGAUUUUGCCCCUGAAACUAAGGAUUUGACUGAGGUGGACUCCUCUUGUUUGACUGAAGAUAUAACAGUUGGACCUGCAAUAAGAUCAGUCUCCAUGAGAGACAGGGGAACAGAAAUGACACCUAUUCCAAGUCAAGAGCCUUCAACAACGGCUACACCUGUUGGUGCAACAACUCCACUCCGCAGUCCCACUUCUUCAAUACCAUCUACACCUCGUAGAGGACAACCAGCUCCAACGCCUACAGACAAUUACAUUGACAAUGCUUCUCAAACUUCAACAGAAAACAAUAAAAGGGAAUUGUCGGAGGAAGAAUUAAAGAUGAAGACAAGAAAAGAGAUUGUAGCCCUUGGUGUCCAACUUGGUAAAAUGAAUAUAGCUGCUUGGGCCAGCAAAGAUGACAAGAAUAAGAGCAAGGCUGAUGCUGAACGAAUGGAAUAUGCUAAAAGGGCAGCUGCUUGGGAGGAAGUGGAAAAGUCAAAAGACACUGCAAGAUAUAAGCGUGAAGAGAUAAAAAUCCAAGCUUGGGAAAGCCAGCAUAAAGCAAAGCUAGAGGGAGAAUUGAGGAAAAUAGAGGCACAAGUUGAA
rnacentral:misc_RNA from 1 species